rnacentral:rRNA from 1 species
ACGAACGCUUUCUUCUUUCUUCACACAUGCAAGUCGAACGGAAAGGCCCUGCUUUUGUGGGGUGCUCGAGUGGCGAACGGGUGAGUAACACGUGAGUAACCUGCCCUUGACUUUGGGAUAACUUCAGGAAACUGGGGCUAAUACCGGAUAGGAGCUCCUGCUGCAUGGUGGGGGUUGGAAAGUUUCGGCGGUUGGGGAUGGACUCGCGGCUUAUCAGCUUGUUGGUGGGGUAGUGGCUUACCAAGGCUUUGACGGGUAGCCGGCCUGAGAGGGUGACCGGCCACAUUGGGACUGAGAUACGGCCCAGACUCCUACGGGAGGCAGCAGUGGGGAAUAUUGCACAAUGGGCGGAAGCCUGAUGCAGCAACGCCGCGUGCGGGAUGACGGCCUUCGGGUUGUAAACCGCUUUCGCCUGUGACGAAGCGUGAGUGACGGUAAUGGGUAAAGAAGCAACGGCUAACUACGUG